GACGAACCGUCCAAACGUUAUUCGGAAUUACUGGGCUUAAAGGGUGCGUAGGCGGCGCGGAAAGUUGGGUGUGAAAUCCCUCGGCUCAACCGAGGAACUGUGCCCAAUACUACCGUGCUUGAGGGAGAUAGAGGUGAGCGGAACUUAGGGUGGAGCGGUGAAAUGCGUUGAUAUCCUAAGGAACACCGGUGGCGAAAGCGGCUCACUGGAUCUCUUCUGACGCUGAGGCACGAAAGCUAGGGUAGCGAACGGG
rnacentral:rRNA from 1 species